rnacentral:lncRNA from 1 species
CUAACAGAAAAGAAUGGCUCCUCCUUGCAACUUUAUCAAACUAUUUUUAAUUUUAUUUUGUUGUCCCUGUUGUUUAAACUAGAGUUAAAGAAUAUCCACUUCAAUUUGGAGAAGUCGCUCUGGACCCUACCACGUGCCCUGGGCUUAGUUUGCAAAUACUCAAAGGACCACUGUCUCCGCUGCUCCUUCGGGUUUACCCACAAUUGAUCAGAAGAAAAGGCAUUCAUACAGCUCCAUCUUUCAUUUUUUUCAGCCUGCCGGUUCCUCCAAUUUCCUCUCCAAAAGAACAUGCAGCUGUUUAUAAAUGUCUCUAUUUAGAAAUGCUCCUUAGGAAGCCAAAGGAAACCUCAGGCUUCUAUCGUGUCCGGCAUUCUGCAUCUUGGCUUUCAGAUAACGUUUUGCGAGUGAUGAUGAGAAUAAAUAAUAUCUUACUGUCUGUGAGGGGAAAAAGAAGCAGCAGAGCCAACGUGGCCUCUCCUAUCAAGAGGAUCAGAGUCCUCAUCGUGGACCGCUGCUUAGGAAAGGCUAGCAGAAAGAAGAUUGCCCUGGCAACUUCUACUACUGUUUAAGGAAGAGAAAGAGUCUUAGCUCUGGAGGUGCAGCCCCGACCGAGAGAGAAACAAGCCGUGCUCACGUGAAAGUAUCAUUCUACAGGGGAAGCAGACAAUAAACAGACACAUAAAUAAUUGAAAAAAUAAUUU